rfam:Prochlorococcus marinus MIT9313 complete genome
GAAAGCAGGUGAGGUGUUCGCGAUCAAGUUGUCAUUGCCCUUGGCAAGACGAGCUUGGUUGAGGAAAGUCCGGGCUCCCCGAUGGCCAGACUUGCUGGGUAAUGCCCAGUGCGGGUGACCGUGAGGAGAGUGCCACAGAAAAACACCGCCGAUGGCCUCAUGGGGUUCUACUCCGGGCACAGGCAAGGGUGCAAAGGUGCGGUAAGAGCGCACCAGCAGCAUCGAGAGGUGCUGGCUCGGUAAACCCCGGUUGGGAGCAAGGCCAAGGGGCGAUGGCUGGCCAUCUGCCACGUUCCACAUAAAUGCGCCGCUUGAGGCCGUCGGUAACGGCGGUCCUAGAUAGAUGAGCACCCACUGCUCUUGAGCAGUGAACAGAACCCGGCUUACGAACUGCUUUCACCC